UACGUAGGGUGCGAGCGUUAAUCGGAAUUACUGGGCGUAAAGCGUGCGCAGGCGGCUUUGCAAGACAGAUGUGAAAUCCCCGGGCUUAACCUGGGAACUGCAUUUGUGACUGCAUGGCUGGAGUGCGGCAGAGGGGGAUGGAAUUCCGCGUGUAGCAGUGAAAUGCGUAGAUAUCGAGAGGAACACCAGUGGCGAAGGCGAGUCUCUGGACGACUCCUGACACUGAGGCACGAAAGCUGGGGGAGCAAACAGG
rnacentral:rRNA from 1 species